UGGACGACGCUGGCGGCGUGCUUAACACAUGCAAGUCGAACGGUGACGGAGAGCUUGCUCUCCUGAUCAGUGGCGAACGGGUGAGUAACACGUGGGCAACCUGCCCCAGACUUCGGGAUAACGCUUCGAAAGAGGUGCUAAUACCGAAUACGAACGCCGUGGGCAUCCACGGUGUUGGAAAGUUUUUCGGUCUGGGAUGGGCCCGCGGCCUAUCAGCUUGUUGGUGAGGUAAUGGCUCACCAAGGCGACGACGGGUAGCCGGCCUGAGAGGGCGACCGGCCACACUGGGACUGAGACACGGCCCAGACUCCUACGGGGGGCAGCAGUGGGGAAUCUUGCACAAUGGGCGAAAGCCUGAUGCAGCGACGCCGCGUGAGCGAAGAAGGCCUUCGGGUUGUAAAGCUCUGUCUGGAGGGACGAAGAAAGUGACGGUACCUCCGGAGGAAGCCACGGCUAACUACGUG
rnacentral:rRNA from 1 species